GCCCGGAUGAUGGAAUUGGUAGACAUGCUAGUUUCAGGUACUAGUGCUUCGCGGCGUGCAGGUUCGAGUCCUGUUCCGGGCA
rnacentral:tRNA from 1 species